CGCGGAGGGGCGCACAGGGUACCGCAUGGGCUUUGUGGGCCUCUCUGCCCGUGGGCCCCCGUCUCCUGCAGGGACACUAACCCUCUCCUCCUCGUCCUCUGUUUUCCUUCGAGCGUCUGUGCAGGUUCUGACCAUGAGUCACUCCGCGGCUCAGGCUCCUGUGAAAUCCGUUUCUGGUGCUGCUCCUCCCACACCUGCCCCAGGACCCCUUUAUCUACUCGCGUGGAUCUAACCCGUUGGCUGUAUUUGAUUUGAGGUCUUCAUGCUUAUCUACAUCACAUUCUCGGUACAUCUGUCCCCGUGACGGUGCCCCACACGCUGAGCAGGGGAUGCGCACCGGCGCCUCUGGCCACUGUGGCCCGAGAAUACGCAUUCUGGCUCUGGAUCUGUGUCGUGAGCUGCCCGGCCUAGUCGCGUAUCCCCAGAGCCCGAGGGGGACGGGGGACGCCUCCCGUGAGACCAAAUGUAUGUUUGCUCUGCAUCGUGCUUCUGGCUCCCUAACCCCCUGGGGUUUUCCAAGUGAGAAGAGCCAAUAAGGUGUCUUUUGUAUCAUAAUGGGGAGACGCUGGAAAGCCCCUAGGAUCGCACUGGUGGCCAGGGAUCCAAGCCUGUGAUCUGAGAGCAGGAACCACCUGGCCUCUGGGAGGGGAGAGGGCCUGGGGGUUGAAUGGAUCACCUAUGGCCAAUGACUUGAUCAAGCCUCCGUAAAAAGCCAAAGAAGGAUGGGGUUGGGGUCAGAGAGCUUCGGGCGGUUGAACUCUUGGAGACUGGGGACAGCCGUGUGCUCAAGGGCUCGAGGGAGCUCCACCCCUCCCCUCCCCUCGCCCUGCCCGGCUCUGCAGCUCUUGGGCUGUUCUGAGUUCUAGCCUUGACGAUGACCAGCUGAUCGACUGAGUAAAGUGUUCCCUGUGAGCUGCCCUAGCCAACCAGGUGGGCCCACGGAGGGAGUCACUGGAACCUCCAAUCUAUAGCCAGCUGCUCAGAGGCACAGCAGGGCCUGGGGGCCUGGGGAGGCCGGGACCACCCCCCUGCCACACACACACACAGCAAACCUCCACCAGCUACUUCGCGGGGCCCUGUGAAGCUGGGAGGGACUCUGGGGCGGCGAGGGGCAAAUACUGUCCCCCUUCAAGAAGGCCGAGUUAUUCACUAGCCUCCAUAAUAAAUAAAUGAGCG